GAUGAACGCUGGCGGCGUGCCUAAUACAUGCAAGUCGAGCGAAUGGACGAGAAGCUUGCUUCUCUGAUGUUAGCGGCGGACGGGUGAGUAACACGUGGAUAACCUACCUAUAAGACUGGGAUAACUUCGGGAAACCGGAGCUAAUACCGGAUAAUAUUUUGAACCGCAUGGUUCAAAAGUGAAAGACGGUCUUGCUGUCACUUAUAGAUGGAUCCGCGCUGCAUUAGCUAGUUGGUAAGGUAACGGCUUACCAAGGCAACGAUGCAUAGCCGACCUGAGAGGGUGAUCGGCCACACUGGAACUGAGACACGGUCCAGACUCCUACGGGAGGCAGCAGUAGGGAAUCUUCCGCAAUGGGCGAAAGCCUGACGGAGCAACGCCGCGUGAGUGAUGAAGGUCCUCGGAUCGUAAAACUCUGUUAUUAGGGAAGAACAUAUGUGUAAGUAACUGUGCACAUCUUGACGGUACCUAAUCAGAAAGCCACGGCUAACUACGUG
rnacentral:rRNA from 1 species